rnacentral:misc_RNA from 1 species
AACGCACAUUGCGCCCACCAGUAUUCUGAUGGGCAUGCCUGUUCGAGCGUCAUUUCAACCCUCAAGCCCCGGCUUGGUGUUGGGGCUCUGCGCCUGCAGGCCCUCAAAUCCAGUGGCGGACACGCCAGGUCUCCGAGCGCAGUAGUUUCUCCUCGCUCAGGCGUCCGGCGUGCGCUUGCCUCGCACCCAUCUCAUCAAAAGGUUGACCUCGGAUCAGGUAGGAAUACCCGCUGAACUUAA